AUUGAACGCUGGCGGAAUGCUUUACACAUGCAAGUCGAACGGCAGCACGGGAGCUUGCUCCUGGUGGCGAGUGGCGAACGGGUGAGUAAGGCAUCGGAACGUAGCUAUUAGUGGGGGAUAACUAUCCGAAAGGAUAGCUAAUAACGCAUACGUCCUGAGGGAGAAGGCGGGGGAUCGCCAGACCUCGCGAUAAUAGAUCGGCCGAUGUUUGAUUAGAUAGUUGGUGGGGUAAAUGCCUACCAAGGCGACGAUCCAUAGCUGGUCUGAGAGGAUGAUCAGCCACACUGGGACUGAGACACGGCCCAGACUCCUACGGGAGGCAGCAGUGGGGAAUUUUGGACAAUGGGGGCAACCCUGAUCCAGCCAUUCCGCGUGAGUGAAGAAGGCCUUCGGGUUGUAAAGCUCUUUCGGCAGGAACGAAACGGUGGUUACUAAUACUAGCUACUAAUGACGGUACCUGAAGAAGAAGCACCGGCUAACUACGUGCCAGCCGCCGCCGUAA
rnacentral:rRNA from 1 species